GAAGAUGUUCUGUGCACGCAAAAUUCUGAUUCGAAUAAACUGCAGCAGUGACGAAAUUCAGAGAGCGCAAUGAGCACGCGUGUGGCUGCACGAUGCUACAUCAAAACGCAGAUUGUACAAAUGCCUCAAUUAUUUUGAAGCAAGGUCAACCAACAAGGCAGUGCAAGGUGCUAUACGAAACAUCCUGAACACGAUGCCUGCUUUUCAGAAUGUUAAGGAUAGAAUAAACAUGCGUUAUCAACAUUUUAAAAUUAUAUUCCUCGAAAGAUUUGUUUUAAUAUUAUUCUCCCUUCUACGCCCACAUAACAUUAAUCAUGUCAGGUGGACGUUAUCAGAUACACGGGUCCGGACUAGCUGUCUUGACUAUAUAUUAAUAUAUAUGAAGCAAGCGAGAGAGAGAGAGAGAGAGAGAGAAUUUACAAAGGUAAAUAAAUCUAUCACCCUUCAUCGCACGUCUCUUGAUUGGCCUGCAUUCCUGUUCCGUAUUCAGGUCCGAGCAUAACACAGUCUUACUUGAUCGACGAUUUUUGUGGUUUUCCUCAGUCCACCCAAGCAGCUGCCUCGUUAUCCUCCCUGAACAACCAUACAUAAACACGUCAUGCGAUACUAAUUGACAAUCUGAAACAACAGACCGUCAAAACAACCGGUCCCAGCGCAAAUUCACCAGCACAUGGUAUUCGGACGGUUCGGUUCUUCGUCAGGAGUCCGGAUAAACUGACUUAAGUGUGUCGUACUUUUCCUCGACCUCGAAACAGGCCUCAGCAGAUUCCUUUUUCAGAUUCAUCCUUAACAUCAGUCUUCCCAUGAAAACCUCUAUAUGUAUCCCUUUCCAAUUCCAAAAUAAUCGACACCAAGUAGCGUUGGCAAUUGAUGCAGUGGAAUCAGACUAAAGAUUUGACAACAAUGUGCGAGAACACUCUGUUGCAUCAGACUCGCAGUGGAGACAUUUCGAAUGCGUGCCACACACCGGAAACAGCUGUACGCCGCUCCAACCAGCAUGCACAAGUACAACGAAAAAUUCAAAUCCAUGUGGCCUUACGUUGCAAUCUGAUAAAUAUUAAAAUACAGAAAUGAAUGAUUCAAACUCGUACAAAAAUACUGCGUGCAUUUGUAUCUGGAGGGUGGCUUCGCUGACGACAUUAAUUUGUCCGACUGGGUGUUCAAAAGAGGCAUCCUCCGGUAUUACUAUUUGCGUAGACGAAUCCGGAAUUGUAAUGGCGAAGCUGUCAUAUUAACACUUUUAGCCGUGUUGGCCCUGCUAACACAAAUAAAUAAAUAAAAUUAUUCUGUUUUC